CAGGACGAACGCUGGCGGCGUGCCUAAUACAUGCAAGUCGAGCGGACAGAUGGGAGCUUGCUCCCUGAUGUUAGCGGCGGACGGGUGAGUAACACGUGGGUAACCUGCCUGUAAGACUGGGAUAACUCCGGGAAACCGGGGCUAAUACCGGAUGGUUGUUUGAACCGCAUGGUUCAAACAUAAAAGGUGGCUUCGGCUACCACUUACAGAUGGACCCGCGGCGCAUUAGCUAGUUGGUGAGGUAACGGCUCACCAAGGCGACGAUGCGUAGCCGACCUGAGAGGGUGAUCGGCCACACUGGGACUGAGACACGGCCCAGACUCCUACGGGAGGCAGCAGUAGGGAAUCUUCCGCAAUGGACGAAAGUCUGACGGAGCAACGCCGCGUGAGUGAUGAAGGUUUUCGGAUCGUAAAGCUCUGUUGUUAGGGAAGAACAAGUACCGUUCGAAUAGGGCGGUACCUUGACGGUACCUAACCAGAAAGCCACGGCUAACUACGUGCCAGCAGCCGCGGUAAUACGUAGGUGGCAAGCGUUGUCCCGGAAUUAUUGGGCGUAAAGGGCUCGCAGGCAGUUUCUUAAGUCUGAUGUGAAAGCCCCCGGCUCAACCGGGGAGGGUCAUUGGAAACUGGGGAACUUGAGUGCAGAAGAGGAGAGUGGAAUUC
rnacentral:rRNA from 1 species